AGGAGAUUCCUGGAAUCCAUUUCGUUCUUAAAGAACAACUCUCUGAAGAAGCACGUGGGAAACUAAUGCGAAAGAAUGAUUAACUAACCAUAAGACGAUGGUGGACAAAGAGACAACAAUUAUCGAGCAUCACAAGUUACUGUUGGAAAGCUAUUGACCAAGAGGGGCUAGACAGGACUGGGGUCUUCAACAAAACCAGACCAUGUUACUUAAACAGACCUGUUGAUCCUACAUGCAUUCAUGACUCCACAAUACAAGUUAAG